rnacentral:rRNA from 1 species
CUAAAACGACUCUCGGCAACGGAUAUCUCGGCUCUCGCAUCGAUGAAGAACGUAGCGAAAUGCGAUACUUGGUGUGAAUUGCAAAAUCCCGUGAACCAUCGAGUCUUUGAACGCAAGUUGCGCCCCAAGCCUUCUGGCCGAGGGCACGUCUGCCUGGGUGUCACA